AGCAGCCGCAGUAAUUCCAGCUCCAAUAGCGUAUAUUAAAGUUGCUGCAGUUAAGAAGCUCGUAGUUGAAUUUCGGGAUCAAUUUAUUGGUCGUGCUAUUGUACGUACUGGUAUUAUUGAUUCCUACCUUCUGACGAACCAUGAUGUCAUUAAUUUGGUGUCUUGGGGAAUCAGGACUGUUACUUUGAAAAAAUUAGAGUGUUUAAAGCAGGCUCACGCUUGAAUACAUUAGCAUGGAAUAACGAAAUAGGACGUUUGAUUCUAUUUUGUUGUUACUAGGAUCGACGUAAUGAUUAAUAGGGAUAGUUGGGGGCACUAGUAUUCAAUUGUCAGAGGUGAAAUUCGUUGGAU
rnacentral:rRNA from 1 species